rnacentral:lncRNA from 1 species
CUGAGGAUCUGGUGCUGCAUGUUCCUGGCUGCAGCGUGUUUCUCUUUGGCGAAGCUGACCUGCCUGAGAAGCGCAGUCUUGUGCAGAGAAGGAAGCAGCUGGGCUGGUUCACGAGGAGGGAUUUCAGUGCUCUUCAGCCUGACCUGGGAGCUGCCCCUUCCCAAAGAUGUGGUUUAACAGCUUGCUUCAGGGCGUUGUGACAGUUGUGUUGGAAGAAAAUUGGAAUUUCAGCCUUGCAGUGAGGGGAUCCGUGCUGCCACCAGAGCAGCUGAGUGCCAAUCUGCGGGAGGCGGGAGUGGAGCGAAACUGCAAAC